rnacentral:rRNA from 1 species
UCUUUUCCUUUUUUUUCAGCAGCCGCGGUAAUACGGAAGGUCCGGGCGUUAUCCGGAUUUAUUGGGUUUAAAGGGAGCGUAGGCCGGAGAUUAAGCGUGUUGUGAAAUGUAGACGCUCAACGUCUGCACUGCAGCGCGAACUGGUUUCCUUGAGUACGCACAAAGUGGGCGGAAUUCGUGGUGUAGCGGUGAAAUGCUUAGAUAUCACGAAGAACUCCGAUUGCGAAGGCAGCUCACUGGAGCGCAACUGACGCUGAAGCUCGAAAGUGCGGGUAUCGAACAGG